GAUGAACGCUGGCGGCGUGCCUAAUACAUGCAAGUCGAGCGAACAGAUGAGGAGCUUGCUCCUCUGACGUUAGCGGCGGACGGGUGAGUAACACGUGGAUAACCUACCUAUAAGACUGGGAUAACUUCGGGAAACCGGAGCUAAUACCGGAUAAUAUAUUGAACCGCAUGGUUCAAUAGUGAAAGACGGUUUUGCUGUCACUUAUAGAUGGAUCCGCGCCGCAUUAGCUAGUUGAUAAGGUAACGGCUUACCAAGGCAACGAUGCGUAGCCGACCUGAGAGGGUGAUCGGCCACACUGGAACUGAGACACGGUCCAGACUCCUACGGGAGGCAGCAGUAGGGAAUCUUCCGCAAUGGGCGAAAGCCUGACGGAGCAACGCCGCGUGAGUGAUGAAGGUCUUCGGAUCGUAAAACUCUGUUAUUAGGGAAGAACAAAUGUGUAAGUAACUAUGCACGUCUUGACGGUACCUAAUCAGAAAGCCACGGCUAACUACGUG
rnacentral:rRNA from 1 species